GUGCUCACUUGGGCAGUACAUACACUAAAAUUGAUACUGAGAAGAUUAGCAAGGACUAUGCACAGGAUGAUAAGCAAAUUCGCCAAGUGUUCCAUAUUCGU
rnacentral:snRNA from 1 species